rnacentral:rRNA from 1 species
UACGGAGGAUGCAAGCGUUAUCCGGAAUGAUUGGGCGUAAAGCGUCCGCAGGUGGCUGUGUAAGUCUGCUGUUAAAGAGUCUAGCUCAACUAGAUACAAGCAGUGGAAACUACACGGCUAGAGUACGUUCGGGGCAGAGGGAAUUCCUGGUGUAGCGGUGAAAUGCGUAGAGAUCAGGAAGAACACCGGUGGCGAAGGCGCUCUGCUAGGCCGUAACUGACACUGAGGGACGAAAGCUAGGGGAGCGAAUGGG